rnacentral:rRNA from 1 species
AACGAACGCUGGCGGCGUGCCUAACACAUGCAAGUCGAACGAGAAAGGGGCUUCGGCUCCGAGUAAAGUGGCGCACGGGUGAGUAACACGUGGGUAACCUGCCUCUAAGAUUGGGAUAACUCGUCGAAAGAUGAGCUAAUACCGAAUAAGACCACAGUUCCCGCGGGAACAGGGGUCAAAGGUAGCCUCUGCUUGCAAGCUAUCACUUAGAGAUGGGCCUGCGCACCAUUAGCUAGUUGGUAGGGUAACGGCCUACCAAGGCAAAGAUGGUUAGCUGGUCUGAGAGGAUGAUCAGCCACACUGGAACUGAGACACGGUCCAGACUCCUACGGGAGGCAGCAGUGAGGAAUAUUGCGCAAUGGGCGAAAGCUUGACGCAGCAACGCCGCGUGAGUGAUGAAGGCCUUCGGGUCGUAAAGCUCUGUCGGGAGGAACGAAUGCUCCUGAGGUUAACAGCCUCGGGAGGUGACGGUACCUUCAAAGGAAGCACCGGCUAACUCUGUG